ensembl:lncRNA
UCGUUGAGACAAAUGUUUGCAGGUGGAUAGACGAUAGCUACAAAAUGAUGGCAACCAUAAUCUGCUAUGAUGGGAAGCAAUCUUUCAGACUGCCUACACUCUGUCGAUCCUGCCAAUGAAGAAAUGGGGAACCAAGUGGGGGCACCUUGGCUCAGCUAACAUCACACAUUGAUGUGGUGUUUGAAUGAAGAGGAGCCCUUAGAUCCUGACUUCCAAUAAACCUGACCACCUAUCAUGCCCAGUGCUGUUAAGCCUUUUUCUGGCUUGUUUUAAUAUUGUUGCUAUGGUGUAACUUAGGUUUACCUUCCCCAUUGCCAUUCAUCUCUGAACCAAGUUAAAAUACUUUACCAGAGUACAAUUUCACAGUGAAGAGGGAAAUUAAAUAACGGUAGAUGCCGACAGAAAAACAUGAACCCAAACCUAGUUUGGAACGGGCGCUUUAGACUCAUUACCCACAGACCCACACAUACCCCACAGCUCUGUGUAUCACAACACUUGCGUUGUUUCCAGGCAGGAUCAUUUUGUCUCUGUGUUAAGAAAGCCAGAACCGGGAACAGUGUGCACUGCAAUAGGGGACCUUGUCUGGGGCAAAUAUCCUCCCCCUUUGCCGUACACCUGGGGCUCAUUGAAACCUUGAUGGCGAAACCUCACUUCCACGUGGCUCCUUCUCCAUAGCAGCUGACUUGUGCUGAAAUCGAGUUUCUUGUUCUGCCGUUCCCAUACGAAUGUUGGCAAGAGGCAUUCAGGCCGCAGCACACCAGAGUCCCCCAGGGCCCCCGUCGAGGACAUAUGAGUAUCUAGACACACUCGGUUUCAGGCUGCCUGGCAGCAGCAGCACAAUCCCCCGACGAGCCCUCAGACAUUUUUCUCCUUCCUUCUGAGGCUCCUCUUGGAAAGAGCCAGCACAGUAGAUCAUGCUGGGUGACUUCCCCAGAUACAGCUGCCGAACACAGGUGCAUUCUGGGGCUUGGGCGUCUGGAUUAGCCUCUGAUUUGCUGCAGGAAAAAUACUCACUGUAGUUUCCCUAUUCCCAAAUAUGGCUACUUUGAAGAUGGAUAUGAUAUAUUAAUUUUUGUGUUUUUACAGACUUAUGCUCUGCAGACAUAACAGCAUUUUUCCAAGAAAGGAAGAGAAAAAUGACUUCAGUUUCUGUACCUUAGGAACAGCGAGACAGGAUUUGUGGGUCUUCUUGUCUCUUAAAGGAGGCAACGGGGAUUCCUGAAAUGGAAAUAAAGAGCCUGCUGUUUGACCUGGAGCUCUGAAGACCCACUUUUAAACUAUAUGUGGUUGAUGGGGAAAGCAACAGGUGAAGCCCUGACACAGUGCUCGGCAAUUAGAACUCGGUAAAUAACCGUCCUUUCCCUCUCUCUCCACAUCUGCCCCCUCAUCUCCACCACCAAAGAUCAGACUUUUGUUACUGAGGUUUUGCUAAUAGUAAUGAACUCUAAAGAUGGUUUUUUGAUCUUCAAAACAGCUUUAAAAAGAUCUGGUAUCCUUAAGCAGUGUUAUUAUGAAAAGCAGAGUCUCCAUGGGUCAAGCUAAGAAACUAGGCAGUUUUGUUAACAGAGGUUUAUCAGGUGAAAUGUAUUUUUUACCAAAUAUUUCUUCAUGUUUAAUAACCUUGAAAGUUAGCAAUGAUGACUUUCCCA